CGGCAAGGUUUUUUUCGGCGAAUCAACGCUCCUAUUCUAUUCCUCUCAUUCUCUUGAGCUUCAUAAGGCUUCAAUUCAAGGUGGUGAGGCAUCUUCCAAGGGGAAUUAAAAUGCCGACCAGUGAGUGCGUCUCGAGUCCGACACUGCAGUGUGGGGUUCCACUGUCCGACCUGAUUGGAGGCGGCGUAGUCAACCUUGAGUUUACCCUGAUCAACAGGUGUGCAGAGCCAUUAAUAGGGGGGUCUUUUAUGUAAGAAACCCGGGGUCACCAUACGG